UAACUUAAAGAAAAAAAUAUUUUCAGUUUACAAUUCUAUCAAAGGUCAUCAUACAUCUAGCUACAUCAAUACAAUGGUAUGUAGUUGUUUAUAUGUUUCAAUUUAAAUUAUUUUUUCGAUGUAAAUUGUUUAAACUCGAAUAAUAUGAUUAUAAGAAUAUUUACUUUUUAUUAUUAUUGCAGGUUAUAAGUGUAAAGAAAUAUUUUUCAAUACAUGAUAUACUUGAUUGCGGUACUUUUCAACUCAUUAUGGAUAAUGAAUGCCCUCAAUAAAAAAAUUCAUAUGUUUAUCUUCCAAUCACUUCUUUGGAGAUAUGCAAUUUGAGCGAAAAAAUAUGGCUGCAUAACUUUUGCUUGGCAAGAUAAGUCCAUAGAAAUAAGGUGCACAUGAGUUGGAGAUGGCUAGUGUGGCUAAGGAUGAUACCGAUUACCAAAAUAUGAUUUUCUUCUCUUUUCGAGUGGGGUCUUUGUGUGAAUUCGUGCAGGAAAGAUAUUACAAGCUGAAGAGAUCAUGAUUGUCUAUCUCUCGUGAUUCUGUUCCAUAGCCCUUGUUGUUUCUUUUUGCCCUCAUGCUCUAAAACUGGUUCUUGGAAGAAGUUCGUAUGAAGAAGAGGAUGAGGGGCCUCAAUCCCUAUUCUGUAUUUGCAGGCCUCGGAUUUUUGUAGGUUGCUCAGUUUGACAUUGUAUAGUUUUUUGUUGGUUGUUUGUUGUGACUCAUGGCCUCAAACUUUUUAUUAGGUAGCUCUUUUAUUAGGAAGUAUAUCUACUUGAUACGAUGGGUCCUUUCUUACAUGCCUAUGUCUGGGCUAUAUGAUAGGUGAGGAACUUUUUGUUUGUAGUACCCACCCAAAUGUUUUUACAGUUUUUUCCUUACAUGUUUGGAUUUUUAUAGGUGGUGUACUCCCACUUUACA